AGUGCUAAAGACCCUUCCACUAGCAGGCAGCUCUCCUGUGCUGAAGCAUGACUGCAGAAAGUUCUUGUCUACCUGUCAGGGCCCCUAAGGAAGUUCUGGGCCUCUGUAUAGCCCAGGGGAUAGCAGGAGGGACCUCAGCUUUUCUGCCUACAGUGGGGCAGCAAAAUGGCCUGGAAGACAGGAUUUUGGUCUGCAGGGUCCCCAAUGUGGGACCAGGAAUGAUGAAGCUGAGACAAGAUUUAACUACCCUGAUACAAUGGUCUAUGAUGGGACCUGAGGCUAACACACGGAAAGAAGAUGGACGUGGGGUUCUUUGCUUUUGGUACUGUUUUUCUUUACAGUAUAAAGUACAGUAAAAGCACAAAGAUGUAUUU
rnacentral:lncRNA from 1 species